UUUAUUUCAUUUCAUUUUCAAAAUAUCAAAAUCUCAUUCAUUUUAAUUCCAAAAAAUGCGAGACCAAUUGUAUUAUUUCUCUUUUGAUUUCUAGUUUAUGAAAAUGAUUUUUAAUAUUUUUUAUUUAUCAUUUGAUAGUUUUUAGGAAUUUUCUCUUUUCUGGUUAUUUUUAAUUCAUUUUAAAUAGUUUUUGAUAUUCAAAAAAUACAAAAAUA
rnacentral:lncRNA from 1 species